AUGCUUAGGAGGAUGUUCCAAGGUGGUCCUUCAAGGAAGCAAGGUCCCAGGCUUGCAAUACGUGAUGCUGACGAGGAACCACUAAGAGACGCUCCUGUGAGGCCUUGUGAAUGGCCGUCGGAAAAUUUUAUGAAUCAAGUGGGAAUCAAAGAAGAAUUUAGCGCAUAUUUGAGUAACGCCGGUCUUAAGGACUUUGAAGCUGACAGAUGCCCCCAGUAUCAUGAUCUCACAAGUUCAUUUGUGAGGACGUUUGAGUUUUCAUCUUCGCGUAAUUCCCCUUCAGUCAUGUUUGACCUUUAUUACAAAUCUUAUACCAUGGACUUAGAGGAUUUUACUUCUGCUUGCAAACUUCCAUCUUGGGGUAAUGUCAGGGAUCCCCGUAAAUCUGAAUAUAGAGACUUUCUUGCAAGAAUAACUGUGGGGGAAUCUAGAGAUAUAACACAAGCUACUAUAGGGAGCGUUCACUUUCCUGCUAUACAUUAUUUUGCUCUCUUCAUAGGUAGAUGCAUAAAUGCUAAGGAUGAAGCAUGUCACAUGUGUGUCCCUGACCUCAGUAUUCUCAGGAGUGUUGUGUUAGGAGACCAAUCUUAUCAUAUGGGAGCCAUUGUAGCUCGUAGGUUGCAUCAGAAUAGACAUAGCGGAGAUUUCUUUGGAGGAAUUUAUGCAACCCGCUUAGCUAAUUUUCAUGAGAUAGACAUUCGUGAGGGUGAUAUGGAAUUACCCCCUUCUUAUUUAGAUUUUGAUUCUAUGGUUUCCCACCAGUUUGUUGAGAGGACUGAACCACCUCUCCAGUUUCGAUAA
rnacentral:rRNA from 1 species